rnacentral:rRNA from 2 species
UAGAGUUUGAUCCCUGGGCUCAGGAUGAACGCUAGCUACAGGCUUAACACAUGCAAGUCGAGGGGCAGCAUGGUCUUAGCUUGCUAAGGCCGAUGGCGACCGGCGCACGGGUGAGUAACACGUAUCCAACCUGCCGUCUACUCUUGGACAGCCUUCUGAAAGGAAGAUUAAUACAAGAUGGCAUCAUGAGUCCGCAUGUUCACAUGAUUAAAGGUAUUCCGGUAGACGAUGGGGAUGCGUUCCAUUAGAUAGUAGGCGGGGUAACGGCCCACCUAGUCUUCGAUGGAUAGGGGUUCUGAGAGGAAGGUCCCCCACAUUGGAACUGAGACACGGUCCAAACUCCUACGGGAGGCAGCAGUGAGGAAUAUUGGUCAAUGGGCGAGAGCCUGAACCAGCCAAGUAGCGUGAAGGAUGACUGCCCUAUGGGUUGUAAACUUCUUUUAUAAAGGAAUAAAGUCGGGUAUGGAUACCCGUUUGCAUGUACUUUAUGAAUAAGGAUCGGCUAACUCCGUGCCAGCAGCCGCGGUAAUACGGAGGAUCCGAGCGUUAUCCGGAUUUAUUGGGUUUAAAGGGAGCGUAGAUGGAUGUUUAAGUCAGUUGUGAAAGUUUGCGGCUCAACCGUAAAAUUGCAGUUGAUACUGGAUAUCUUGAGUGCAGUUGAGGCAGGCGGAAUUCGUGGUGUAGCGGUGAAAUGCUUAGAUAUCACGAAGAACUCCGAUUGCGAAGGCAGCCUGCUAAGCUGCAACUGACAUUGAGGCUCGAAAGUGUGGGUAUCAACAGGAUA